rnacentral:rRNA from 1 species
AAUCAACGCUGGCGGCGUGCCUCAGACAUGCAAGUCGAACGCGAAAGUCCCUUCGGGGACGAAGUAGAGUGGCGCACGGGUGAGUAACACGUAGGUAAUCUACCUUCGGAUGGGGAAGUAACAACCGGAAACGGUUGCUAAUACCGCAUAAUGCAGCGGCACCUAAUGGUGACAGUUGUUAAAGCGGGGGAUCGAAAGACCGUCGCGUCUGAAGAGGAGCCUGCGGCGGAUUAGCAGUUGGUAAGGUAACGGCUUACCAAGGCGACGAUCCGUAGCCGGCCUGAGAGGGGCGGUCGGCCACACUGACACUGACAUACGGGUCAGACUCCUACGGGAGGCAGCAGUCGGG